rnacentral:rRNA from 1 species
GACGAACGCUGGCGGCGUGCUUAACACAUGCAAGUCGAGCGGUAAGGCCCUUUCGGGGAUACACGAGCGGCGAACGGGUGAGUAACACGUGGGUGACCUGCCCUCAGCUCUGGGAUAAGCCUGGGAAACCGGGUCUAAUACUGGAUAUGACUCCAUGACGCAUGUUGUGGGGUGGAAAGCCUUGUGCGGCUGAGGAUGGGCCCGCGGCCUAUCAGCUUGUUGGGGGGUGAUGGCCUACCAAGGCGACGACGGGUAGCCGGCCUGAGAGGGCGACCGGCCACACUGGGACUGAGACACGGCCCAGACUCCUACGGGAGGCAGCAGUGGGGAAUCUUGCGCAAUGGGCGAAAGCCUGACGCAGCGACGCCGCGUGAGGGAUGACGGCCU